GGUUUAAUUACCCAAGUUUGAGGUAAUUGCGUGUUUCGGCUCGGUUCCAACACAGGUUCCGUGGCUUGAAAUAAAAUUUUGGAAAGCUUUGCUAUUCGGCGAAGCACUAUCGUUGAGUUGA
rnacentral:sRNA from 1 species